CCUACGGGAGGCAGCAGUGGGGAAUAUUGGGCAAUGGGCGCAAGCCUGACCCAGCAACGCCGCGUGAAGGAAGAAGGCUUUCGGGUUGUAAACUUCUUUUCUCAGGGACGAAGCAAGUGACGGUACCGGAGGAAUAAGCCACGGCGAACGACGUGCCAGCAGCCGCGGCAAUACGUAGGUGGCAAGCGUUAUCCGGAUUUACGGGGUGUAAAGGGCGUGUAGGCGGGACUGCAAGUCAGAUGUGAAAACCACGGGCUCAACCUGUGGCCUGCAUUUGAAACUGUAGUUCUUGAGUACUGGAGAGGCAGACGGAAUUCCUAGUGUAGCGGUGAAAUGCGUAGAUAUUAGGAGGAACACCAGUGGCGAAGGCGGUCUGCUGGACAGCAACUGACGCUGAGGCGCGAAGGCGUGGGGAGCGAACAGGAUUAGAUACCCGGGUAGUC
rnacentral:rRNA from 1 species